GUAAAUGUUGAUUCUCCAUGGGAAAAAAAUAAACAUACUCUGUAGCUAAUUUUUUGUUGUGUUUACGUGGCAGCACCUUUGGAUCCCAAUCAUGUAGCUAAAAAAAAUUGAAUUUCACUUCUCUCAUUGAUGCACUAUUUCUUCUCUCUGCCUUCUCUCCCUCGCCGCCUUCUCUGUUUUCGCCGUCGAGUCAUUCCGACAUAUGUGAAAAUAUUGCUCUUUUGGGUUUUUUUGUUUAAAAAAGGUUGUUGUUGUUGUUUUUUGGAGAAGAGUGUGAGGCAAAGAAAACAAGUAUGGAGGUGAGGGAGGGUGAGGACGACAGUGACGGUGGUGAUGACGAAUGCGUUGCUUUUGU
rnacentral:lncRNA from 1 species